rnacentral:rRNA from 1 species
GACGGGGGGGGCAAGUGUUCUUCGGAAUGACUGGGCGUAAAGGGCACGUAGGCGGUGAAUCGGGCUGAAAGUGAAAGUCGCCAAAAAGUGGCGGAAUGCUCUCGAAACCAAUUCACUUGAGUGAGACAGAGGAGAGUGGAAUUUCGUGUGUAGGGGUGAAAUCCGUAAAUAUACGAAGGAACGCCAAAAGCGAAGGCAGCUCUCUGGGUCCCUACCGACGCUGAGGAGCGAAAGCGUGGGGAGCGAACAGG